UACGUAGGGUGCGAGCGUUAAUCGGAAUUACUGGGCGUAAAGCGUGCGCAGGCGGUUUUGCAAGCCGGAUGUGAAAUCCCCGGGCUCAACCUGGGAAUGGCAUUUGGGACUGCAAGGCUCGAGUGCGGCAGAGGAGACUGGAAUUCCUGGUGUAGCAGUGAAAUGCGUAGAUAUCUGGAGGAACACCGGUGGCGAAGGCGGCAUCCUGGACCGAUACUGACGCUGAGGAGCGAAAGCCAGGGGAGCAAACGGG
rnacentral:rRNA from 1 species